rnacentral:rRNA from 1 species
GAUGAACGCUGGCGGCGUGCCUAAUACAUGCAAGUAGAGCGAAGCGGGGAUGGGUGAGUAACGCGUGGAUCACCUCCUACAACACUGGGGUAACUUCGGUAAACCGGAGCUAAACCUGAUAUUUAUAGCUGGCUCCGAGCUGCAUUAGCUAGUUGGUAAGGUAACGGCGUACCAAGGCAACGAUGCAUAGCCGACCGGAGAGGGUGAUCAGCAAAACUGUAACUGAGACACGGUCCAGACUCCUACGGGAGGCAGCAGUAGGGAAUCUUGCGCAAUGGGCGAAAGCCUGACGGAGCAACGCCGCGUGAGUGAUGAAGGUCUUCGGAUCGUAAAACUCUGUUAUUAGUAAAGCGGUAUCGAAUCAGAAAGCCACGGCUAACUACGUGCCAGCCGCCGCGGUAAUUC